GAAAAGCACCAUUGGACAAACUUUAAAAUAAUUUUAAACUUUACUGUCUAUGAAGGUGAAACUGACCCAGGUACUCUUUAGCCUAAAUCAAGGAGCAAAACUGAGUUUUUCCAAACCGGUUACCCCUCUCUACUCAAGCCCAGAUAGGGAUGGAUACUGGAAUUAACAAUAGAAAAGCUUACUACAUUUUUCUCUAUCAAGACAUGCUACCUAAAG